AGGUUUUCAACAUUGAUGGGAGGCAGUUUUGAACAUGUGAGAGCCACGAAAACAGGUGUCUAUGAAGCAUGUGCAAGCACACUUCGCGCA